rnacentral:rRNA from 1 species
UACGGGGGGGGCAAGCGUUGUUCGGAAUUACUGGGCGUAAAGGGCUCGUAGGCGGCCAACUAAGUCAUACGUGAAAUCCCUCGGCUUAACCGAGGAACUGCGUCCGAGACUGAAAGGCUUGAAUCCGGGAGAGGGAUGUGGAAUUCCAGGUGUAGCGGUGAAAUGCGUAGAUAUCUGGAGGAACACCGGUGGCGAAGGCGGCAUCCUGGACCGGCAUUGACGCUGAGGCGCGAAAGCUAGGGGAGCAAACGGG